UUAUUAUGAGAGUUUGAUCCUGGCUCAGGACGAACGCUGGCGGCGUGCCUAAUACAUGCAAGUCGAACGCUUCUUUCCUCCCGAGUGCUUGCACUCAAUUGGAAAGAGGAGUGGCGGACGGGUGAGUAACACGUGGGUAACCUACCCAUCAGAGGGGGAUAACACUUGGAAACAGGUGCUAAUACCGCAUAACAGUUUAUGCCGCAUGGCAUAAGAGUGAAAGGCGCUUUCGGGUGUCGCUGAUGGAUGGACCCGCGGUGCAUUAGCUAGUUGGUGAGGUAACGGCUCACCAAGGCCACGAUGCAUAGCCGACCUGAGAGGGUGAUCGGCCACACUGGGACUGAGACACGGCCCAGACUCCUACGGGAGGCAGCAGUAGGGAAUCUUCGGCAAUGGACGAAAGUCUGACCGAGCAACGCCGCGUGAGUGAAGAAGGUUUUCGGAUCGUAAAACUCUGUUGUUAGAGAAGAACAAGGACGUUAGUAACUGAACGUCCCCUGACGGUAUCUAACCAGAAAGCCACGGCUAACUACGUGCCAGCAGCCGCGGUAAUACGUAGGUGGCAAGCGUUGUCCGGAUUUAUUGGGCGUAAAGCGAGCGCAGGCGGUUUCUU
rnacentral:rRNA from 1 species